UCGUUGAUGCACUAUUAAAUUUUUCUCAC
rnacentral:sRNA from 1 species